ensembl:lncRNA novel transcript
CGGCCGCGGCGGAUGGGAAGCCGUGCACGACGAGCACAAUCUCCAUGGGGAGGACAACAGGAAUGUUCCUGUGAGCCCCGCCGCGCCCUACCGCCAGCGCAGCCCAGCAUCGCGGGUCCCCUCCUAUCCCACCGGAGAACGGGGUCCUCACUCCCAGCUUCAGCCGAGCCCUGGCCCCGCAACUGCCUGAAGGCACGCCCCCUGCACCUGCCCACCUCAGGUCCCGCCUCCAGCCCAGUGGCCAAGAUCGCGGGUCUCUACAAUGACUUGGAGCCACCCCGGAAGACCAUGCGCAGAGGGGUGCUGAUGACCCUGCUGCAGCAGUCGGCCAUGACCCUGCCCCUGUGGAUUGGGAAGCCUGGUGACAAGAGACUACGUGGCCAGACCUGGAGACAAGGUGGCUGCCCGGGUGAAGGCCGUGGAUGGGGAUGAGCAGUGGAUCCUGGCCGAGGUGGUCAGUUACAGCCAUGCCACCAACAAGUGAGUGACACCAGCCCCGGGGCUGCUCUCUGCCCUUCCUGUC